AUAAGAUCUGAUAUCCCCGUAAAAAUUCAAGCCACCACGAUUGUCAAUCAUGUUUAUAUGGACGAAAAGAUAGUCAUGAUCUGGAUAAAAAAUGCUCAAAUGUUCCUAAGAAUGCUAAAUUUGUUAUGGAUGAAAACAUGGUUCAUUUUUUUAUGGGACAUGAAGGUUGACGAAGGUUGGCUUAUUCGAGCGCUAAAAUUAAAAUAAAGAUUAUAAUUUAAGAGUGAAUUUUCGGUUGAUGAAGGUUUGGCUAAUAUGAUUUUCUUAAAGAUGUGAUGCAAGAAUUAUUUUUAUUUUUCUAUAAUAAAACAUGAGUGUAAAAAUAUAAGUUCUGCAUGGUUUUAAAAUUUAAUUUUCCACUUUAUUUUUUUGGUGGGACAUUUUUUUCAAUUAGUGUGGAGCUAAUUAUGAAGGUUAUCAAUGCAUAUAGCCAUAAUGGAAGAAGGUUACAAA